AGCCCAGCUGAGAAUGUCAUGGAGUUUUCAGAAAAAGCAAGCACCCAGCAAGGCUGCAGAGUGCAGACCACUGGAGAGAUGAUUUGUAGAAAGGACACUAGUCACAAACCCUCCUUGACCACCCUGAAAAUAAGGUAGGUUCUCAGGAUUUCACACAGGAUUCUUUCUCAGCCCUAUCCAAAGAUGCCAGAGAUGGAAACUGGGAUCUUCUGCAAGCAAAACGUAUGCUCUACCAGGCACUAAGCUACAGUCUUUCUGAGACUUGACAAAUAGAUGUCCUGUAAUCCAUGGAACAUAGUGAUCCUCUUACAAGUGCAUAUAGAAAAGCUGCCAGUUGUCACCACUGAAACCAUCAUAAAGCAACUUCAUUUAAGAUUGCCCUAAUUUCUUCCUCAGAUAACUUCCUGUCAUCUUUGUAAAAAUCCCUUAGCCUAUAAAGGCCUUUAGACUUCCAAUCUUGCCAUGGAUAUAUUCUAUAUUUAUUAAAAAAUUGUGAAUGAAAGAACAAAGGUGUCAAUGGAGAACCACAUGGGGAAAUUGAUUUUACUCUGUGAGACCAACAUCGAUACAAGGCUGUCUGUAUUUGA